UCCGACCUGCAACAAUGGCGUUCUCCGGUGAGGCGGCUGCGCCCUACAAGUAGACGGCGGAGGCUCCCGUGCCGGUACGUCCUUACCCACCUCGGCUACUCCUCAGAGUCCGAAUUUCCGCAGCUCAAUUACUUACACUUGGUUUCUUCUCCUGUUUGAAUUUGUAGGGGAGGGGAGGGGAGGGGAGGGCGGCGUCCCAGGCCGUGAGGUCCUCUGGUGCAGAUUUGACUGAAUCCCAUCUCUCCUAGCUCAUCCGCUUUACCGGAAUCGCCUUCUUGCGGUAUUUUGGGGGCGUCUCCUCCUUCUUCCGAGCCCGUAAAAGCCCUCACUUCUUGUUGCCGUGCUGUUUGGGCCCUUGCCAUUUGGGAUCCA
rnacentral:lncRNA from 1 species